rnacentral:rRNA from 1 species
CCUUUCGGGGGACGAAGUAGAGUGGCGUCCGGGUGAGUAACACGUGAGUAAUUUGCCUUCGGGUGGGGAAUAACAGCCGGAAACGGCUGCUAAUACCGCAUGAUGCAGCGGCACCUCAUGGUGACAGUUGUUAAAGCGGGGGAUUCUUCGGAACCUCGCGCCUGAAGAGAAGCUCGCGGCAGAUUAGCUAGUUGGUAGGGUAACGGCCUACCAAGGCAACGAUCUGUAGCCGGCCUGAGAGGGCGGUCGGCCACACUGACACUGACACACGGGUCAGACUCCUACGGGAGGCAGCAGUCGGGAAUUUUGGGCAAUGGGCGAAAGCCUGACCCAGCAACGCCGCGUGAAGGAUGAAGUAUUUCGGUAUGUAAACUUCACAAGAAUGGGAAGAAUAAGUCGGGGUUAAUACCCCCGAUGAUGACGGUACCAUUUGUAAGCUCCGGCUAACUCCGUGCCAGCAGCCGCGGUAAUACGGGGGGAGCAAGCGUUGUUCGGAUUUACUGGGCGUAAAGGGCGCGUAGGCGGCGCAACAAGUCACUUGUAAAAUCUCCGGGCUUAACCCGGAGCGGUCAAGUGAUACUGUCGUGCUAGAGUGCGGAAGGGGCAACUGGAAUUCUCGGUGUAGCGGUGAAAUGCGUAGAUAUCGAGAGGAACACCUGCGGCGAAGGCGGGUUGCUGGGCCGACACUGACGCUGAAGCGCGAAAGCCAGGGGAGCGAAC